ensembl:lncRNA
GGGCCGGCCGCUGCCGGCUGCCGAGCGGAGACGUGUCGGUGGCUGCACGGCGCGCCUGUGGCUGCCCCGGGCCGGGGCUGCUCUUCGGGCGCCGCUCGGCCCGCGUUUCCCUCGGCUCUUGGUUCCGAAGUGGGGAUGGUGGCCGGGGCUGACCUACGUGGUAAAUGGUAAAAUGGGGGAAGCGGUGUAUGGUGGCACUGUGGCAGGGAACGGCCUUUCUCCAGCCUGGUUUGCAUCUACGCGCCGGCAUCCGGGUGUUUUGCCUUCGCUGCUGGUGGAUGAGUUUCUCAAAAUUGGAUUUCCAUGUAAACCUUCAGCAGAAGCUUGGAGGUGCAGAUCGAAGGGGCCUUGCCGCCACCCUCAGGGAUUCCUUCCCUGUGAAAUGUCUUGGUACUGCCAUAUUCCUUCUGCUUUCCGCUAUGUCUGGAAAGUCCCUGGCAAAGUGGGAUCUCUCCAUCCCUUUUGGGCCUGUGUUUUAUGCCACAUGUGUCCAAGUACAGGUGUCCAGGAAGUACCAUCCAUUUGCUCGUCCUGCAUCCUGCUGAUAAUUCAUGGUUACAGACCAGCUAAAAGUGUCUCAUUCGCAGUUAGCUGAUGGAUUUUCUGCGGAGGUCCACAGGGAUGGAAGGCACGAGGAGCUGGCGAAGGGCACCAGAGCUGUGUGGAAUAGAGGGCAGGUGAACACUGCUGCUCGCAGGAAGGGUCCUGCUGCCAGAUUAUGAGCAGUGGCGCAUGAAUGAGGAGCUCUCAGGUUCUGGAGUGAUCAUGUAGACAGGAAUUUUCCUUGCUAGAUCUUUGUUCUGUUUCCCUGCAGUGUCUUCCUGAGUUGAACUGGAAGCUUUGGAUGUCUGCAGCCUACAGAAACGAGCUCUGAAGGUUGGCAGUGAAAAUGGCUGAGAGCUGUAGGAAAUGCUUAAGGGAAUCUAAUGCUUUUGGAAUCUAGAGUGGUGCCAGGCAAGGGGCUUAGAUCUGGUUCUAAGUCCUUGGUUUAAAAAAAAUAAGAUUCUCUGCAGGCUUAAGUUGGAUUGGGGAAUUCACAAUAGACAAAUGACCCUAAGAGUGGGGUACAGAAGACUGUUUUAAGGAAGUUGUAAUGAUUUUAAAACAUAAAUGAUAAAAAGUCAGCUAUUUAAUAUUUCUUCCUAAACAUCAGUGCUGUUUAGAUUAGAUUUUUGGAAGCAGGAGUCAGGCUAGCUAUCAACGUGUCAAAAACAUGAAAAAUACAUGUUGCCAAAACUAUUACACUUUUAAGGAUCUUUUUCUUUUUAAUCCUUACAUUAGAUACUUUGCUUCCUAAAGCAAAUGAUGAAUAUAAGCAAUUUGAUGUAGAUUCCUCAUUUUUAAUAUACUAAUAUUAACACAAUAAAACAGAAACAAAUUCUAGAAGAUUAUUCUGUUACUUAAAAAGAGAAGCAUGUAUCGAGAACCUAUAUGAGCUGUCUGCAAUUUAUAUAGAGAGAAUGGAGGUUACUAAAAAUAAUAUAAGAAAUGAAUUUGAAGUGACCCUUUGGAAUUUUCUUUAUGACCUAAGUGUAAAUCUAGGAAGAUGCUAUGCAGAUUUCUCUGUUGGGCAGAAAUGAAGUCAUGUGCAUGUGAUAACCUUGAAAUUUCUCUGAAGUUCCUCUUUUUAAAUGUUUAAGUAUUGGUGUAUUCUUGAAAGGCUGCAUAUUAUGUAAACAGUUGUAUGACCUAGUGUCAUAACGUCUUGUAGUUGAAGGCUUUUCACAAACUGGCACCAGCUCUAUGUAGAAUCUUUUAUACAGCGGGUAUAGUUGGGGGAAAAAGAAGGAAAGAGGAGAAAGCUUCUGUCCCUCACAUUGCUUUUUGUCCAAGUUAAGAGCAAGUGCAGUGCAGAGCACGAGUGUGCAGUUCUGUCAGUUUUGUUUUCCACCAAAGGAUAAGCUAAACUCUUGUGUUAUAAGGUAUGUGUACUCUGUAACUAAUACGUAGCUAGAUGUGACAGUUAAAAGAUUUCAGUCAGAGCUAAGGUUUGCUUGUUUAAUUAAAAUUUUAUCUUGAGCAAGCUAUUCGCAUAGCUGAGCCCUUCACUGUGUGGACCAAGUUCUGCAUCUUUUUGCAGACUUCAGAUAAAAAGUGAAGUUAGUAAUUACUGUGGAGUAACGUUUAAGGAUUCUUAAUUCCCAGGAUUUUGUAUGUGGAGUACAAGAAAGAAAACGUCCCAGAACACAUUGGUAGAAAGCUGAGUAUUCCGGAAGAGGUUUACAGUACAGUUCAGCUUUUACACACACAUGUAGCCAGCAGUAUGAGAAGUUUGGCCAUUCUUCAGCAUCGGUGUUGUCCUUAGCCACUAAACACAGAUGAAGCUCUGCAGUAGGCCGUUCUGUUCCUGAAUUAAGUUUCUACUUGAGAAAUUGAA